rnacentral:rRNA from 1 species
UACGUAGGGGGCGAGCGUUGUCCGGAGUUACUGGGCGUAAAGGGCAUGCAGGCGGUCGGACGCGUUUUGUGUGACAGCGGGUGGCUCAACUGCGCGAGCAUACGAAAGACGGUUUGACUUGAGGGCUCGAGAGGGACACGGAAUUCCGGGUGGAGUGGUGAAAUGCGUAGAUAUCAAGUGGAACACCAGUGGCGAAGGCGAGUCUCUGGACAUUUCCUGACGCUGAGGCACGAAAGCCAGGGGAGCAAACGGG